CAGGGAAAGAGAUGCGGUGAUGAAAGAAAGGUCUGAGGGAUGCUGUGUUGCUGGAUUUGAAGAUGGAAGAAGGGGAGCCUGAGCCAAGGAAUGCGGGCAGCCUCUAGAAGCUGGAAAUGGACACUGCCCUGGAGUCUCCAGAAGGAACACGGUCCUGCCAGCACCUCAGUUUUAACCCAGUGAGACCCAGGUCGGACUUUGAACUACAGAACUGUGACUUAAAAAAUGUACGUUGUUUUAAGCCACUAACUUUACGGUUUUUUGUUCCAGUAGGAAACUAAUACAAUAAUGAAGACCCAUGUAGCUACUCCCCAUUUCUGUCAAAUCUUAACAUUCAGUACUCCGUCCCCAGAAUUUGUCAUUGUUAAAAUAACACUGUCGUAAACAUUCUUGUAGGUAAGUCUCUGUGCACGUCCUUGAUUAUCUCCUUAAGAUAAAUUCCUAGAGGACAAACUGCUGAGUCAAAAGUUAUGCACAUUUUGGGGAACCUGGGUGGCUCACUCGGUUAAGCGUCCAGCUUCGGCUCAGGUCGCGAUCUCACGGAUCGUGAGUUCAAGUCCCGCAUCAGGCUCUGUGCUGACAGCUCAGAGCCUGAAGCCUACUUCAGAUUCUGUGUCUCCCUUUCUCUCUGCCCCUCCCCCAUUCUCACUCUGUGUCUUUCCCUCUCUCUCAUAAAUAAAUAAACAUUUAAAAUAAUUUUUUAAGUUAUGCACAUUGUAAGGUUUACAAUAUAAACUACCGGGGCCCCUGAGUGUCAGUCAACUGAGCAUCCGACUUUGGCUCAGGUUAUGAUCUAGCAGUUCAUGACUUCAUGAGCCCACAUGGGGCUCAGUGCUGUCAGCACCUAAAGUGUCAUCAGCACAGAGCCCGCUUGGGAUCCUCUAUCCCCCUGUCUCUUUGCCCCUCCCCCACUUGUAUGCACAUGCUCUCUCUCUCUCUCAAAAGUAAAUAAACAUUAAAAAAAAUAAUAAUAUAAACUAUCAAUUACCCUACAGAAAAAUCAAACCAAUUUACAUUCCAGUUAUAAAUAUUUGAGAUGCCCCUUUCUUUUACCCUUGACAAUACUGGAUAUUAUGUUUUUCCUUAUCUCAGUCAAUCCUGAAGAACUGUAUGGUAUUUUAUCACAUUUCACUGUUAUUUAAUUAAUAUUUUCCAGUGUUUAUUGGCAGUUCACAUAUUUCCAUUGAGGUGAUCAUCCAUUUCUUCCUUUCUGUGUUAAUGACAUUAACCAGUAAUCACAUAUGCUGCAAGUGUUUUCCCAACUCAUUAGUUCCUGUUAACUUUAUCCUGUUUAAUUUUUUUUUUUGGUGAUUUGAAAACUAUACAGAAAUUUUUAAUUUUGCGUGUAUAUGUUUAUUUCAAACUAUUGGUUUUUCCUUUUUUUUUUUUGCUUUUGUGUUUUCACAGGCCUUGGCAAUGUUAGGAUCAGCUAAACUUUCUUCUAAUUCUUUUGUUGUGGUAUUCAUUCUUUAACUUUUUAAUUAACCUGGAAUUGAUUUUGGCACUUGAUAUGCAGUAGGCCUCAGAACACUUUUUUUUUUAAGUUUAUUUAUUUAUUUUGUGAGAGAGAGAGGGAGGGAGAGAGAGAACCAGCAGGGGAGGGCCAGAGAGAGGGGGACAGAGGAUCUGAAGUUGGCACCAGAGAGCCCGAUGUGGGGCUCCUCCAACCAUGAGAUCAUGACCUGAGCCGAAGUCAGACACUUAACCAACUGAGCCAGGAGGCGCCCCCCUCAGAACACUUUCUAAUGACCACUCCUAGUUAUUGCUUCCAUUCCUUACUAAUGCCCCGUACAGUGUCGAAACCCUCAACUUCUGAGACACAGUAACUGCAUGGGAAAUAAAACUCAAGGUCAGAAAGACCUGGACGCCACAACUCUGCCUCCUCCUCCAAAGCUAAGCGUCUCCUAAAAUGUCCCGCUGUCUUUGCACUGCUGGCAGAUUAAGGGACCCAGAGUCCCUUUGCCUUGGCAGUCUGCUCUCAGGGAUCCGGCGCAAGGAGCCCCCACCUGGCUUCCCAAAGUGCCAGUUGGAAUUCUGUGUACUGCUGAGAACUCCCCAGCGGUUCUACCUGGCGACGUCUGAGAAAGUGCUUCUGUUAUCUCCUGUUCAGUACCAGCCUCACAAGUGCGCAGCCAUCUCCGCUCCCUUCCCCCUUUGUCAACUUCAGACACUGGGAAAGCGCACAGGUGUUCCAAUAAAGCCAGGAACUUAACCGGUGCUAAAUUUCAGGCUAGCCAAGACCAGUUCUAAAUAGGUCGGAUCCCUACUUGCCCCGGAGUGGGGGCGUGACUCUGGCUUGUGCCCUACUUUUCCCAGAAAGAUGGUGGGAGAUUCGUUUUGUCUUAAGAAAUUCGGGGUACGAGGUGGGGCCCAAAGAUAACUCUUCACACUCCUGCCUUCCUAAGUAUUUUUCUGAGAAACUCAGAGAAAUCUGUGUCAUCAGCAAACUGUCACAAGGUUGUAUUCUUUUUCUCUUCCUCUGUGCUCCACCUGUUGUCAGGAUUCAAAGCUUGAGUGGCUUACUCUCAACACAUUCCUGAAAUCAACAGCAACUUCUGAAAGCUCGCCUCUUCUCUGCUCACCAGUUCUCCAACAGGAUCACGAUCAUUGUCCCAAAAUGUCCGCUGUGGGGGUUAAAGUUCACCUGUCAUUUAUGAGGAUGUUUGACACUCUCAGGUAAGCUCCCGUCUAGAAGGGGUAAGAGUCUCAGGUGCAAACUCUGUUGUCAUUUUCUCUUCCAUGCCAGCUAAAUUUCUGACAGAAGGUGAGCCCCACUGGGCUGUACUAUAGGCUGAAUGUUUGUGUCCCCCUGAAAUUCAUAGGUUGAAUCCUAACUUCCCAGUGUGGUGGUACUGAAAGGUGAGGACUCUGAGAGGUGGUUAGGUCAUCAGGAUGGAGUCCUCAUGAAUGGAAUUAGUGCCAUUAUUAAAGAAGCCUGAGAAAGCUCCCUUACUCCUUCUACCAUGUAAGGACAUAGUGAGAACACUGCCAUCUAUGAACUAGGAAGUGGGCUCCAAAUCUGCCCACACCAUUGAUCUUGGACUUGCCAGCCUCCAGAAUUGUGAGAAAUAAAUGUCUGUUAUUUAAGCCACCCACUCUAGAGUAUAUUGUUAUAGCAGCCUAAACAGGCUAAGUAGUCUGGCCUGGCAGAACAUUUCACCUCAUUCUUGGAGAUUGUGCUAGGUUUUCCCUGAGCUGAUCUGCUCUCCAUCCUUCACCCUUCUCUGUGCCCAGGAAGCUGACUUUGAUGGACUGUGUCUGCUGAGUUCUCUUGUCCUCUGGUUUCUACCUGAGUUGGGCCAAUGGGAGGUAUUAGUAGGAAAUCACAAGGUGGGUGAAGAGAAAUAUUGGGGUAUUUGCUCCCCUGGAUCUAUCCAUGGUGGGCUAUUUUCUUCAUGUGGCUGUGCUUCUCGAAAUUAAACAGUUGUGGGGCACCUAGGGCUCAGUGAGUUAAGUGUCUGACUCUUGAUCUCAGCUCAGGUCUUUUAUUUUUUUGAUGUUUAUUUUUGAGAGAGAAGGAGAGAGAGAGUGUGAGCAGGAGAGGGGCAGAGAGAGAGGGAGACAGAGGAUUUGAAGUGGGUUCUCCACCUUCAGUGCUUUCACUGCAGGGCUCGAACUCACUAACCAUAAGAUCAUGACCUAAGCUGAAGUCAGACACUUAACCAACUGAGCCACACAGGUGUCCCUCAGCUCUGGUCUUAAUCUCAUGAUCCUGAAUUCAGGUGCCUCAUUAGGCUCCGUGCUGGGUGUGAGGCCUCUUAAAAAAUAAAAAUAAAGGGACACCUGCGUGGCUCAGUUGGUUAAGCAUCCAACUCUUGAUUUCAGCUCAAGUCACGAUCUCAUGGUUUGUGAGAAGGAGCCUGUGUCGUGCUCUGUGCUGACAGUGUGGGGACUGCUUGAGAUUCUCUCUCUCCUUCUCUCUCUCUGCCCCUCCCCCAGUAAAUAAAUAAAUAAACAAAUAAAAAUAAAAGAAACAGUUGUUUCAGGUGUCCCUUUCCUACAGCUUUUAUGGGAUUCCAGUCAAUACAUCCUCCUCUUUUGGUUCUUCUGCCUGAGGGAUGGUAUCUCACCAUCUUUUGUUCAUUUCUGUUAACCCUGCCUCAUCCUUGUAAAUAAUACCUACAUGAAGCUAUCUUCAGUCAUCUCUUCUGAGUGGGCCAUUUGUACUCUACCAGGACCCUGACAUGGGGAUCCUCUGCCAGGAUAUGCUCCUCUUUAGCCCGCCAGGCUUUGGAGGUCUGUAGAUGGGUCUGUCUGCCCUUCAGCUCUCAAUCAGACCAGGUCACAGAAGGAUGUCCUUUGCCCCUGACUGUGGAACACUUCACGUUUAACAGGUUGUGGCUUGAGAUGGAAAUGGGAGUCUUAAGAGAGACAGCCUAGAGUCCUAGCCAUGAAGAUCUUUGACAUGUUAUGGGCAGCACUGGGAUCACCUAAGAACUUUCUGGAAAUGGAGACUCAGGCCCCACCCCCUACCUCUUGAGUCAGAAUCUGCAUUUUAACAAGAUGGCCUGGCAAUUUGCAUGCAGAUCCCAGACCUAGAAACACCGCCCUAGAUUUACCAACUGGCAUUCUCUCUGGAGCCUUCCUACCUCCUCUGUGGGACUCUACGAAAACCAGAACCCAGAUUCCCAUUACUCCAGACAACAAAUCAAGGCUAUUUCUCUAGAUUGCAACAUGGAAGUUCCCCUCUUCCCUCCUUUUCCAAGAUGCUUUGUCCGUUUUAGUAGAUCUUAUUCUCUCUUACUAUGUCCAGGAACCUUUUAAGUCAGUGGGACUCAAACUUGGUUGCACAUUAGAAUCACCAGAGGAGCAUCCCAGGUCAGUUUAAGAGCAUAUGGGGGUGGGACCCAGGCGACAGUGUUUUUUAUAACUCCCCAGGUAAUUCCAGGAGGAGUCAAGGUUGAGAACUACUACUCUCCAUUCUCCAGAGGGCUCAAAAUUUUCAAAAGCAAAGCCCAAAAGAACUACAGGCUACUCCUGCUGAAAGGUAGAAAGAAGGACAAAUACAGAGGGAAAAAAAAAUCAUUAAUAUUUGGUACAUCAAGACUUGGUAGCCAGGUGAGACCUGCCAGCACCGUCUUGCCUGCCUUGAUGGCCGGGUGCUUGGUCUCCAUGUCUCUCCAGCUGUUGCUUCCUGCAAACCCUCUCAUCGCCUGCCUGAGUCUCCAGGGGAGAAGUGAGCUACUGAGAGGCCAGGUGUUCUCUCAUACUUCACUGUCUCCCCACAGCUCACAGUGAAGAUAUUUUAUGAAGAUGCUGGGGUCAGCAAAAAUGUAUGCAAAUGUAACCUUUCCCUUUUCUGCAGCACUUACUGCCUACGUUAAUCCUUUCUCAAUGACCACUGCUGUCUUGUGUGGUUUUUCUCUGCAAGUUCUUGUACUGCAGGUUCACGCUCCUUAUGUUCCUCUGAGUGUGUUCUCUUCUUUAGAAGUCCAUAGGCUUCUUAAGAUCAGGAUGUGCUGUCAUUCCCCCACUUGUCUAGUAGCAUGAUAGGCACAGGAAUAUGUCCAGAGUGCCAUCUACUCAAUGUAACUGGCUUGAUCGUCUUUCUUUGAGAACUAACUCUUCUCCCUCUGGUUUAUCCAUAACCCUUCUUUUUCUCUCAUAACUUUAUAGGUCCUUCUUGAUGCAUGCCUUUGGUAUUUCCUCUGCCUCAACUUGGUGUGAUGAGAAGACCGAACGACCACAGAAUUCUGGCCAAGCCCAAGUUAACUUGUUUUCUGAAACUGAAAAAGUAAGUGUAAGUCAUUAUAAGGUUAAUGAGAUAUUAUAGUGAUAUAGUGAUAUGGAGAUAGUAUAGCCUUCCCUUGGAAGGCAUGUUCAAGCAAAAAUAAAUGAAAAUCAUUCUGUUUUCCCAUUAGAUAAAAGCUGAUUAAAAGGCUAAUGGGUCAGCAGGCUCAGAGUAUUAAGAAGAAUGGUGCUGUGUUUAUUCACAUUUAAAAACUUACUCAACUAUUUGCAGAAUGUCUAUAUACAGAAUGGGCAGGCAAUGCAGAAACUGUUUAAGCCUAAUAGCCACUUAACUGUGUUGUUUCCUUAUCUGUAAAAUGAAAAUAUUUAUGUCUGCUUCAUAAGGUUAUAUGAAGACAGAAUGAGGUAAUGCUUGUAAAGUGCACAGUAUACUAAGUGCUCAGUCAAUGCCAACUGUAAUUCCUAGAGCUUGUUGAUUACAAAGGAAUCAGUUGGCUCUGUGAAUCUCGGGCUGAUGAUGAUUUCCCUCUUAGUGACUUGUAAAAUUCUAGCUUUUUAGAAUAGUUCUGACUUAGGGAAGACCAUGAAUUUGUUCCAGCUGCGGAAAAUCCUUGCUGGUGUCUUACCUUUCAGUCAAAACCUGAGAGACUGUUCUUUCAAAGUCCAAUAGGUGGCACAAGGAGCCACUUGUCAUGCAGGACAAGCACUGGCCAGCAGAGAGCCUUAUCUUCCCAGCUCCAGAGGGCCUUAGUCCUGGUUCUGUCUCCCUAUAGACUCUUUAAGUAUAUAGACUGGGUUAUUACAAGUUUUAAGAAAAAUAGAUGUGACUUAGAAGGCAGUUGAGAAUGAGUCUAAUCUUCCCCAAAUAUUUCCCCCUAAAUAUUCCACUCAUCUGAAACUAGUUAACUCUGUUAAACUACUUAAAUUCCAAAUCACCCUUAGGUGAAAGUUAAAUACCAUUGGCCCUAAGUAUAUCUUUCACAGAGACACAUAGUCCAAAAAUGUAGUAGAAGGUCUGUCGUCAUUGUGAAUUGUGCCAGCUCUGCAGUCACUGUGUAGAAUAGACUCGAAGCAGUGGGACCUUGGAAGAUGGGGGAGAGUUAUGUUGCUGAUCUGUAGUGUUUGCUGAUUUCCCUAAAUGUUUCCACAGUGGUCAAUUUCAAGAACUAAAAUGAAGUCACUUUACACAGAGCCGGGAAGAGGAGAGCAUAAUCCUCCUGACCAGGUAAUGCCAAAGUCUUAUUCUAGGAAUAUUUCUACCAUCAUCAAAGCUGCUAAUAAAAUAUCCAUAUCGACACUUUGGGGCAUCCUUUUCUCUUACAUCAAAAGCAGGAAUCAAAAAUAGGAGAAAGAAUGAACUACUAGACUAACCCACAAACUGUAUGGUUGGUUUUAAAUGAAGAAGGGCUGACCUGCUGGAUCAUUUUAUCACCCGAGCACAGCAUAUUACACAGAGUAGGAACUCUAUAAGCCAUUGCUCUCGGACUUGCUAAUAAUGUAGCAACGUAUUAAAUAUGGAAUUUCAGGUUAGGAAGGGCCAACCCAUUCCUAUUUUCAAGAGGAAAUCCUUUUAUGUCGAAGUUUGCUUGCUUUUAAAUUCCCCUAUUGAUGGGGCGCCUGGUUGGCUCAGUUGGUUGUGUCUGACUUCACCUCAGGUCAUGAUCUCAUGGUUUGUGGGUUCAAGCCCCAUGUAGGGCUCUCUGCUGACAGCUCAGCGCCUGGAGCCUGCUUCCGAUUCUGUGUCUCCCUCUCUCUCUGCCCUCCCCCACUCAUGCUCUGUCUGUCUCUCUCUCAAAAAUAAAUAAACAUAAAAAAAUAAAAUAAAAUAAAUUCACCUCUUGACUUUCAGGCCUAGGAAGGGAACAUAGGAAACACAUGUCAUUCAUUUUCCAACUGAAUGCCCUGAGCUAAUUAAGGACAGGGUUGCCUCCUCUUAGAAUCUACUUCUCCAGGAUGAAUAUCAGAGUAUUUGCCGUUUCUCAUCACCCUUUUCAUGUUUCUUUGGUCAUGCUCCAAUUUGCCCACAUCCCUCUUAAAGCGGGCCCAAUGACUGAACACAUUGUCAGCUCUGAAUCACAGGGAACCAUUGCUUGUCUUGUUCUGAUCAUCACAUGUGUACUGGCACAGUCCAAUAUCACAUAAGCUCUCUUGGCAGCAUAAUAGCAUUGCACCAUUUAUUUACCUAACCGUAUAGCUGACUAACAUCCUAAGUCUUUUUAAGUGUUAUUAAGCCUCAUAUUUCUCAUGCUUUAAUUGCAUUUUAAGAAAUCUAAGUCUAAGGGCACUUGGGUGGCUCAGUCGGUUAAGCAACCAACUCUUGUUUUCAGCUCAGGUCAUGAUCUCAUGGUUGUGAGAUCGAGCCCCACGCGUUGGGGUCCGUGCUGGCCGUGGAACCUGCUUAAGAUUCUCUCUCUCUGUCUCUCUCUGUCUCUCUCUCUCCCUCUCUCCCUCCUCCCCCUCUUUCCCCCUCUUCCCUCCCCUCAAGAAAAAAAAAAAAAAAAAGAACAACAACAAUCCUAAGUCUAGUGAAUAUAAUAAAAACCGUUGCACUGCACUCUGUCAGUGGGUUGUAUGAUAUGUGACUAUCAAUAAAGCUGUUAAAAAAUAUAAGUUCAGGAAAGAAAAGCAGAUGUAUUUUAUCAAAUAACUACGAAAUCUUGCCAGACACAUUAUCUCAUAUAAUCCUUUCAACAAUUCUUUUGUGUUCUAGAGGAAUUAAGAACCUUGUGUAAGUGAAGGAGCAGGGAUUUGAACCUAAGUGUGCUCGAGAUGCUCAUUCCACCACAUUGCUUCCCUGUCACCUGUUAAGUGCUAGGCAUUGUGACUGGUGCCCAGUUGAAGUGACCGGGAGGAGGUCUUCCAGGCAAGCAGAGCUGCAGGACCAUGGACCCUCAGAGUAAUAACAAGCGAUGUGGCAAUUUAGAGAGAUUCAGGUACCAAAAGAAGGUGUCCCAUAAGUGAAGCAAAUGUGACUAUUGGCAGCGGUGAAAGUGGGGGGGAAGAUGUUGGGAAAAACAGUGUGAGUGACCCCGAAUGGCAGUGGGGGAGGGUCACACAGGAUGAAGGGCAGGUAGCAAGGUCCCCAGCUUGGUCUGCAUUUCAGGUGUGUUACCUACAAAGAAUAGGUGUGUGCAAAUUACAGUCCUGAUUUUGGAGGGGCCACAGUCCUGGUUUUAUGGUGGCGGGGGCUGAAGCCUGAGGAAUCAAGGAGUCGGGUCCUGUGACAGGGAAUCUUACCAACUCAAUCCCAGGGUGAAGGCUGAAGCCUAGAGGCCAGAACCAGAGAGUUUGAUGAGAGAACAAGUCACAGGGUAACCUAACAGUGUCCCCUGAACUCCUGAGACAGGGCUCCUUGAAACCUUCCCUAGAGAUAGGAUUUGCCCCUGAAUCUGGGGCAGAGCCAAAGCUGAGUGUCAAGUGGCCAGAAUGGGGACAGACAGAUCGUUAAAGCGACCAGUGCCCAUCUGGUUUUUAUUUUUCCCCUGCAAAAUUCAUGACCGGUGACAGCUGCAGUUACAUAUACCCCUGUACAAGUAUUUGGGGUUAGACAAAAUUCUGGGUGUGCCAUCCAUAAUGCCACUUUCUUCCCUAUUACACAAGAAAGUACAUCAGGAAGUGACUAAGAACGUUGUUUCAAGAAUAGCCAUGAAUAUGUUCCAUUCAGUUUUAUCGUCAGCAAAAAUGAUUUGUGUGCAUGUCCGAUUUGGGCAGGCGGUUGUGAUGGGAUCGCCAGGGUGGGCAUCACCAGACAGACCCUGCCUGUGCAACCAGAAUCCUCGGCUGAGCCUCUCUCUCUCUCUGCCAGACCACUCCCUCAGCCAAGAGUCCUUGGGUUUCACGUAACAGAUACAUCUUAAGCUUGCCUGAGCUAAGGUGGAGAGUGUGUUGGACAUGGGCCAGGGCAGGAAGGGCAGCUGGGCCUCAGGGGGGGUCAGAACAAAGCCCUGAGAGGCCUUGGGAAUGGAGACAGCUCUUCUCUUGCCACCUCCCUUUUUCUCUCAGGAGUGACCUGGUUUCUCAUCUCUACUUCUCCCUGACACUCUUUCAGCCUCCUCUCCCUACAUCCCAGCUUUUCUGCCUCUCAGGGCACAUCAUGACAGUGGCUAUGCCAGCCCCUUGUUAUAUGCUGUCCUACUUCCAGGGCCAAUAGUGACUGACCCGAAGGCCUGUGUCCCAAUUCCAGAUGCCCUGGCAAGAGAAUCUGGUUGUCUCAGCUUGGGUCAGGAGCGUGUACUCCAACAGUCUGUGAGCAUUUGGAGUGAUAGUGACUCUUGGGGCCCACCCCUGUGCAAGAGGGUCAGGGAAGCUCUGAGAAAAGGAGGCAUGGGCUGGAGAGAGACCCCAAAAGGUGCCUGUUCCCUCCAAACAUUGUCACGACUGCCUUUGGUGAGGCAGCUGAUAGUCUAAAUCCUCCCCUCAGGCUGCCUCAGUGUUGUUCUGUCUUUUCCCUGAAACAUCGAGUAUUCACUGGACAUAUUUGUUAACUGAAAACACCUUCUCCACAAACUUCAGCAAAGUGAUGAUAAAUGUAUGCAACAACUUUUUUUUGUUCACAGAGAACAAUCAGAUCUAGAGACCACAUGUUGAGGAGAGAUGCCAUUUUCAACUAAACACUUACCAAGUACAUUGGAGCUAAGCCCAUUUCCAAGGGCCCACAUUGCCUAGCAAUAUAUUUUACAACCAACAAAAUGCCUUUUAAAUAGCCCUUACGUUAUGUCUGAAUGAGAACUAUCUUACUCAUACUUAAAGUAUCUAAAGAGUAAAAUCUGAAAUCAGGAGCUAGAAGCAGAAAACUUGGAAUUUCUAACCUAUGUGGUUUCCUAUUUCAUAUUUAUAAGGCAUAUUAAGGGAACUAUGGGGUAGGCUGUGAAAUCUGGAGGCGAUACUCUAAGGCUCUGAGAGCACCCAAGACUCCUUCUCCUACAAUUUCUAAUGGUGAUGACAGUGAUAUCAUCUGAAUGUUACUUCUUGCUUAUUUCGUGUCAGGCAUGGCACUAAGCACUUUACAUGGAUAAUCUCAUUUAAUCUUUACACCAUCUCCAUGAGAUGUUAUCUGCAUGUUACAGAUGAGGAAACUAAGGCACAGAGCUUGUUAAGUACCAUUCCCAAGAACUCAUAAAUGGUAAUUUGAACUAAGAUGUAAGCCUAGGUCUGGCUGUAGCAGAAGAAUUUUUAUCUUAACCAAUAUAAUAUACUUAGAGAUUCCAACAAGAAAUUUUUAGAAAAGAUAUUUGCAAAUGACAUAUCGGACAAAGGGCUAGUAUCAAAAAUCUAUAAAGAACUCACCAAACUCCACACCCGAAAAACAAUCCGGUGAAGAAAUGGGCAGAAGACAUGAAUAGACAAUUUUCCAAAGAAGACAUCCAAAUGGCCAACAGACACAUGAAAUGAUACUCAAAGUCACUCCUCAUCAGGGAAAUACAAAUCAAAAUCACACUGAGAUAUCACCUCACACCGGUCAGAGUGGCUAAAAUAAACAAAUCAGGAAACUGUAGAUUCUGGAGAGGAUGUGGAGAAACGGGAACCCUCUUGCACUGUUGGUGGGAAUGCAAACUGGGACAGCCGCUCUGGAAAACAGUGUGGAGGUUCCUCAAAAAAUUAAAAAUAGAUCUACCCUAUGACCCAGCAAUAGUACUGCUAGGAAUUUACCCAAGGGUUACAGGAGUGCUGACACAUAGGGGCACUUGUACCCCAAUGUUUAUAGCAGCACUUUCAAUGAUAGCCAAAUUACGGAAAGAGCCUAAAUGUCCAUCAACUGAUGAAUGGAUAAAGAAAUUGUGGUUUAUGUACACAAUGGAAUACUACUUGGCAAUGAGAAAGGAUGAAAUAUGGCCUUUUGUAGCAACGUGGAUGGAACUAGAGAGUGUUAUGCUAAGUGAAAUAAGUCAUACAGAGAAAGACAGAUAACACAUGUUUUCACUCUUAUGUGGAUCCUGAGAAACUUAACAGAAAACCAUGGGGGAGGGGAAUGGAAAAAAGAAAAAGUUAGGGAGAGAGCCAAACCAUAAGAGACUCUUAAAAACUGAGAAUAAACUAAGUGUUGAUGGGGAGUGGGAGGGAAGGGAAAGUGGGUGAUGGGCAUUGAGGAGGGCACUUGUUGGGAGGAGCACUGGGUGUUGUAUGGAAACCAAUCUGACAGUAAAUUAUAUUAAAAAUAAAUUAAAUUAAAAAUUAUUUGAAAGUGAAGCUCCCCAGAUAGAAUGAAUGAAUGAAUGAAUGAAUGAAUGAAAGGAAGAAAGAAAGAAAGAAAGAAAGAAAGAAAGAAAGAAAGAAAGAAAGAAAGAAAGAAAGAAAGAAACUCCCUAUGAACAUUAGGCUUUCCUAUCAUUUUCAUCACCCAUUAGGUCUUUUCAUUUUCAAUGUAUUUGAUUAAGUGUAUUUUUGUGUCUCCUAUAAAGAAGACACUGAUGUAAAGGGCAAUGUAACAAUGAUUAAGACCCUUUUGGGGUUUUAAAGGAGCUCCAGAUUAUCUAAUAAUAAGGAAGAGGCUGUAUAAACAUAAUUACAACAUACGAUACACCAUCCUAGAAGCAUAAAGUCUUGCAGAGAUUAAAAGAAAGAGCAAUCAUGUUCACUUACUACGUAAAAGUUAGGAUUUGUUGCAUAUGAAUGUUGUUAGAUGAGCAGGGUAAGAGACACAGAAAUCCCAUGUUAGCCAGAGUAAUCAACCAUUCCAAAGUGGAAUGCUUAGCAAGGCCAGUAUGACUUCUGGUAAAUCAUAUAGCCAUGUGUUUAAGUGAACCAUGGAAUGUGACCCCUAUAAAUAAGACAUAUGACUUUAAAGGAAGAAAUGCAUCCUCAAUAGGCUUGAUUCUUGUUGCAUAUUUUAAGUAAACACCGUCCCUGAAGAAAAUACCUCUAGUGUGAGCUGUCAGCCAGCAAACUGAGGCAGAGACAAUAGGAAGAAGUGCAAGGGAGACCUUUGGGAAGAGUUCUCUACUCGAUGUGAUGCUUGAUCGCUCAAGAAUCUUUCCAGAAUGGUUCCAGGAAUAAAUGGAUACACCUGUUUUUGAACUUUGCUUGCAGAAACCAGUCCAUCAUCUGCCACCGGCUAGAUCCAGUGGAUAUUGGUGCCACCGGCCAUCCAGGAAUCUGAGAUGGGCACUGAUUACUUGCCCCAGUUCUCCCCCCAAAUUACUGACCCUGCUUUCUGCUUCAGGUAAUGGGAGUCCAGCUGUGCUUUUCCGCACUCUUGAAGUCUGCAGCAGUCUGUGAUCAGUACUUAGAGGCUUAACUGUGGCAAUGGAAAGCAGGACGAGCUCCAGACUUGGCAAAAAAUAGUUGUAGUGCCCCUUUCAUUUAUGUAUAACUUUACAUUACAAAGCCCAUUCACAAUCAUCAUUAAUUAAACCUGCCACUCAAUGUCCUCGGAGGUACGACUGAAUUAGUCUACUCACUUGACCCCCUACAAAACAGAUAGAAAGGCUUAGGGAUUUGCCGAAGUGAAGUGGUUCAAUCAAGGAAGCUUGGCCCAGUUCUUUUUUUCUCAUUCAUUCUUUUUCGCCUGGAAG
rnacentral:lncRNA from 1 species